ACAGCACACAAUUCAUCUUUGUAUUUCACUAGUUUAAGUAACUAGCAGUCUAGCAAUGAACUAAUUACUUAAUUAGUAAUUACUAUGAUAAUAGUCCGAAGUAUAAAAGAAUGAAAACAAAGUGGGUGAAUGGGCCAUGCCUUUCCUUUUUAUUAACCUUUUGAAGACUUGGUCUUAAACAAGAUAUUAAUACUAAUUAAACGAUAACCUAAUCUAAUCUAAUGGAUUAUUCUAGAGUGUGUGAGUGAGACAGAGAAAGAGUGGCUCAGAGAAAACAAAAGGACGGGGGAGGAGGAGUGACAGUGAUGGGGUUCUGCGACUGCGGUGUGGUGGCUUGAAGCGACGUGGUGGCCAGCGUUGGUAUGACCCUUGAUGACUGUAUGAGUUUUGAAGGUGGCUCUAUUGUUCAAGGGUUUAAGGUGUUGGUUGGCUAAGCUUGGAGUGGUGUUUGUUACGAAGGAAAGGCGAUGUUUUUAUUCUGAUUCUCCUUUCUUUAUAUCUCAACUUAUUCUUGAACUCUACACAGAUUCAUGCCUCAUUUGAUUGAUGGUGAUUUUAAUUUUCUAUGUUACAGCACAUGAUGAUGAAAGUUCACCUAGGCAUUGGGAAAGAGAUACAGAAGUGGGAAUUAUAUAAAGGGGUGAAGGCCGAAGGGAAUAUCUUCUUGUUGUUCAUUUUCAUACAUGUUUAUAUGAAGCUUAAGAUGAGAGAACUCACACAAGGCCAAGCGAAAGGGAUUAUGUAUUAAGGAAGAUGGCUUGGGAAGAUUAGAUUUUUUACUUCGCAUUUGUAAACACCUCUGUUUCAGUUUCAUUUGGAGUUUUGGACUGUUCUCUGUGUUCUUUUUAGAAUUUAAACAGGUGUUGGUUUCUGAAUUCACUCUCUCUAACUCAAGUAUGAAGUACCUGCUCCAUUUUCUCACUAUUGGGGAUCAACCAAUCCAAGGUGUUUGCAUUCUCUAUUUGCUUCCCCCCUCAACCGGUGAUUUCCUCCUAUUUAAAGUGUUUGAAGCAGUGAAAAUUGCAAGCUAUAGUAGCUUAUUCAUGACGAUGGCAUAAACUUAUUGUGAAAGUUUUGUAACACAAUUCUCUGCAAAACUUUUACUUAAUCAUUUCCCCAUCCCCUGACUUUACCACUGCCUAUGCACAUGGCUCGUUUCUUUUUUCUUUUUUACUCUUUAUUCCUUGCAGAUUAAAGCUUCCCUUUUUCUUUC